UUUGGCGGAAACUUUUCAUUUUGCUUCACAAUUUUUGGCCACAACACCAAAAACCAAAACGCUUUCCCUUCUCCACUUUCACAACUCAUUGCUUUCCACCGAUUCUUCUUCAUCUUCGUCGUCUUCUACCGGUAACCCUAAAUCGGACAAGAAGAAGCUCGGUUGAAACACCGUCGAUCUACCGGUAACCCUAAAUCGGACAAGAAGAAGCUCGGUGGAAACACCAUCGAUUCACCGCCGUCAUCCACCAAAUCUCACCUUCCGUCGAACACUGACUUUCUCCCAUUCACACCGUCGAAUCCAACAAUUCACUCUUCUCUAUUCGUAGGCCCAGAACUUACGUACUCUUUACCAUGAUUCAUCGAUUCACCAUCGGAGAGAGGAAACUACCUGAGACCGUAGUAGAGUUGAAGUCUUUGCCGUAAUUUUCGAAGAAUAUUUGGAUGCUUUGUAAUUGAUAUGUUGAUUGUAUCCAAGUUCAUGGUGUAGGUGACUCAUGUGGUGCAGGCUCGCACAUAAGGACAAGAUAAGGCUAUAAUCAAUAAGGAUAAGAUCUCCUUUGAACCUAGUAGUCGAAAUGAUAAUGAGGAGAUGUUUUUUGUUUUGGACCAGCAUGUUGGUUGCAACAAAAAUAAUUCUUUUAGGUGUUCUGAAGAAGUUACUGAUAGAAAAGAAUAGAAGUUGCAUUUAGAUGAAUCUGGAACCAUGUCAAAAACAACUAUUGAAGAUAACUUGGGCAGUCUGCAGUGCACUGCAAAGAAGACAAUGAUAUCUUUAAGCAACCUUUAUGCAUCCUAGUACACACAAGGAAACAAGAAGCAGUUAUUUUGCCUAGCUAAGUGGUCGUAUCUGUGGGUUUGGCGCUUUUGGUUCGUGAAGUGUGGUUACUGCUAGGUGUGAGUUUGGCGCUUUUGGUUGGUGAAGUGUGGUUACUAUUAGGUGUGAGUUUGACUAUUAGGUGUGAGUUUGGCGCUUUUGGUUCGUGAAGUGUGGUUACUAGUUACUACUAGGUGCUGUUUUGGUGUCCUUGUUUUUUUAGGUGUUUUGUUUAGAGAAUAUGAUUGUUUGCUUUAGGCUUGAAGUAUUCUUAGUUUGAAUUAAUGCAUGCAUAUACAAAUUUGACUAUGCAAACACCCUCUUUUUUUUAGUACAUUAAAAUGUUAUGAUAUUUGUUAAUAAGUGGAUUUGGUUUUAAAUGUUAUCUGGUAUUGAAUUGAAUGUAAUUUUUUGAUAUUUGCACACCAAAAGAAUGAUUUUGUGGACAACAAAAAUAGGUGCACUAUAAAUGUUUUAUAGAGAUUGCUAUUAAUGAAUCAUUUUAUAAUAGCACUUUUAAGAGAAAACGCUAUCAAACAUGUGUCAUAUAUUAGCGUUUUGUUAAAAAGUGCUAUCAAACAUGUGCCAUAUAUUAGCGUUUUGUUUAAAAGUGCUAUC